rnacentral:piRNA from 1 species
UGGCACUUCCGGAGCCCAUAUUAACGUAC